rnacentral:rRNA from 1 species
GACGAACGCUGGCGGCGUGCUUAACACAUGCAAGUCGAACGGACUUUAGCGGUAGAAGUUUUCGGACGGAAACUGCGAAGAGUUAGUGGCGGACGGGUGAGUAACGCGUGAGUAACCUGCCCAUAAGAGGGGAAUAACACAGCGAAAGUUGUGCUAAUACCGCAUAAUGUAUCUUUACCGCAUGAUAGAGAUACCAAAGAUUUAUCGCUUAUGGAUGGACUCGCGUCUGAUUAGAUAGUUGGUGAGGUAACGGCUCACCAAGUCGACGAUCAGUAGCCGAACUGAGAGGUUGAUCGGCCACAUUGGGACUGAGACACGGCCCAGACUCCUACGGGAGGCAGCAGUGGGGAAUAUUGCGCAAUGGGGGCAACCCUGACGCAGCAACGCCGCGUGAAGGAUGAAGGUCUUCGGAUUGUAAACUUUUGUCUUUAGGGACGAAAAAGGACGGUACCUAAGGAGGAAGCCACGGCUAACUACGUG